UACGGAGGGGGCUAGCGUUGUUCGGAAUUACUGGGCGUAAAGCGCACGUAGGCGGAUUGGAAAGUUGGGGGUGAAAUCCCAGGGCUCAACCCUGGAACUGCCUUCAAAACUCCCAGUCUGGAGGUCGAGAGAGGUGAGUGGAAUUCCGAGUGUAGAGGUGAAAUUCGUAGAUAUUCGGAGGAACACCAGUGGCGAAGGCGACUCACUGGCUCGAUACUGACGCUGAGGUGCGAAAGCGUGGGGAGCAAACAGG
rnacentral:rRNA from 1 species